rnacentral:lncRNA from 1 species
UACCAUAAAAUAGAGUAUCUGACUUGAAUUUUUACUACUCCAUAUGUAAGCAAGUACGUAUUACAAGUCCACGCCGAAUGCCAAACAUUCCUAUUUAAUCAUAUCAAUAAUUGAAAUGCAAAACCCAUCACACAUCCAUCACUAAUUACAUAAAUAUUUCAAGUAGAAUCACAUUGAAAUUUGAAAAUGAUGGAUAAUUUCUAUAUUAACCAACUGAAGCACAAGCUAGCUAGUAAUGUAGCACAGUGAUAUUAGAUCGGGUGACUGAAUAGCCGCUCACGGGAUCAUAGGAAAGAAUCUCGUACGUAGCGUAACCGCGG